GAUGAACGCUGACAUAAUGCUUAACACAUGCAAGUCUUUGGCGAAGCUGUGCUCGCACAGCCUAGCCAAGGCGGACGGGUGAGUAACGCGUAAGGAACUUGCCCUGCAGUCAGGGAUAACAGACGGAAACGACUGAUAAGACCUGGUAAAGUCAGGCGGACUCAUGUCCAGCCUGAUGAAAAGAGAUGCUGCAGGAGAGCCUUGCGUCCUAUUAGCUUGUUGGUGGGGUAACGGCCCACCAAGGCGAUGAUAGGUAGCCGGCCUGAGAGGGUGGACGGCCACAAGGGGACUGAGAUACGGCCCUUACUCCUACGGGAGGCAGCAGUGGGGAAUAUUGGACAAUGGGGGCAACCCUGAUCCAGCAAUUCUGUGUGCACGAUGAAGGUUUUCGGAUUGUAAAGUGCUUUCAGCAGGGAAGAAAAAAAUGACGGUACCUGCAGAAGAAGCGACGGCUAAAUACGUG
rnacentral:rRNA from 1 species